AUUGAACGCUGGCGGCAUGCCUUACACAUGCAAGUCGGACGAGUGGCGAACGGGUGAGUAACGCAUCGGCACGUCCCUAGUCAUGCGGGAUAACUGUCCGAAAAGACAGCUAAUACCGCAUAUUCUUCGAUCGGCCGAUGUCUGAUUAGCUGGUUGGCGGGGUAAAGGCCCACCAAGGCGACGAUCCGUAGCGGGUCUGAGAGGAUGAUCGGCCACACUGGGACUGAGACACGGCCCAGACUCCUACGGGAGGCAGCAGUGGGGAAUAUUGGACAAUGGGCGAAAGCCUGAUCCAGCCAUGCCGCGUGUCUGAAGAAGGUCUGCGGGUUGUAAAGGACUUUUGUCAGGGAAGCGGUACCUGAAGAAUAAGCACCGGCUAACUACGUGCCAGCAGCCGCGGUAAUUC
rnacentral:rRNA from 1 species